CCUCGCCGCUCCGAGCUGCAAGGACGGCAUCAAGGCCGGGGAGGGCGUCAGGAGGCUGCCGUGCGUGCACCCCUACCACGACGGCUGCAGCCUGCCGUGGCUCGCAAUCCGAAACACGGGACUGCUGUGACGCCACGAGCUGACCACCGAUGACCCGGAGUACGAGAAGUGGAAGGCGAGGUGGGCAACCGGCGGUGCCAAUGGCGACGGCAGACAGAGGCCGCAGCUGGUGAAGGGAAAUAUGCAACUUUUUUCUGUGGAUCAGCAGAGUAGCCAAGCACUUGAAGCUCAUGCAGCUUCUUUUGCAACAUUCAAGGUUCCUGUCAAUGAGAACCCAUCAAAGCUCAUAUGUUUUGCUUCGAAGUCAUCUAACGCUGGACAGAUUACUUCUAAGUUACAUAUUACUGAACUAUGUGCCCAGACAGUUAAACAACCUUGAGCUAGCUGUCAAUCUUGCCAAAAGAGCCAAACUUCUCAGGGCAGAGAAUUUGGUAAGCUUCAUAACUCGUAUGCUUUCAUGGAUGAUGGUUUUACAUUUGCAGAACGUGCUUACACUUUCAUGGCGUUUUUGUUAUUGAGUAGUUCCUUGCUAGAUUGUUGAACCAGCGGUUAGUAAAUUUUUAGUGUUCCAUUUGAAUUAUGUAGCUGACAGGUUUAAGAAAUAUCCAGUCUCCUGCAUCUAGCAGCACUAGUUAUAAUCCCUUGUAGCUGACAGGUUUACAGUAGGUAUUCAGAACCUAUCUUGUUUGAACAUAUCACAAGUUUAGAUCAGGUAUGUGUUGAUCCAUCCACUGCAGUCCGAUCUGAUCUGAACAGCCACCUUGGGUACAGCUUGUAAGUUUCUGUCUUCAGUAUUCUGUCAGUUUCAGACUGCUGUCUCUGCAAACACUACCAACCAAGUAUGUUGGUUUCAUAGUACUGUAUUGGAAAUGCUGGAUGUUGGUUUCAGAGUAUUCUGUCAGUUUCAAAUCGCAAUGGCUUCACUUGCUGGAUGUUCUAAUUUCUGUAAAAAGACAAGAUUGUUGGUUGCUGGAUUUUCUGAUUAGCAGGUUAUUCGUUUCAGUAGUUUUAGAUCUCAGAUCGCAAUGGCUUCACUUGCUGGAUGCUCUGAUUUUUUAUCGCACCGCGGCGGGUCAGGAGGGCAGCGUCGAGCGGUGGCGUACGGCCGCCAUUCGCGGACGGGCGGCAGAUGGACACGUCGGCGCCCGUCGCGGUGCCGGCCUGGGCGAGCUCUCGCCGGAGGACCACCGGAGCCCGCCGAGCCGACGUGCGUGAAGCAGGAGGAGGGAGCCCACUGAGCAACUUCGGAUCAGUUUCAAUGGUCAGCUUGUGAAUCCCAACGUAGGUGGACAUAUCAAUUGCCUCUUCAACACCUGCAAGCUCUGCAGCAAAGGUCUCACCGAUAUUAUCAACAUGUCCAGCACCGUCUGUAACGACAUCUCCAUCCUUGUUUCUGAUCACCACACCCCAUUCUCCAUAUCUAUCUACCAGUGUAAACAAACAUAUACAUUAGUUUUAGCAGGGAGAACAUAUACUACAUUAUUUUUGACAGAAGAACAUAUACAUUAUUUUCAAUGUACUAUUGACUUAAUUGUUAUGUACUAGUCUACUCGGAACGAUGAA